AACGAACGCUGGCGGCAUGCCUAACACAUGCAAGUCGAACGCGCGGUUUCGGCCGCGAGUGGCGCACGGGUGAGUAACGCGUGGGAACCUGCCCCGAGGUGGGGGAUAACCCGGCGAAAGCCGGGCUAAUACCGCAUACGUCCUAAGGGAGAAAGAUUCAUCGCCUUGGGAGGGGCCCGCGUCGGAUUAGGUAGUUGGUGGGGUAACGGCCUACCAAGCCUGUGAUCCGUAGCUGGUCUGAGAGGANGAUCAGCCACACUGGGACUGAGACACGGCCCAGACUCCUACGGGAGGCAGCAGUGGGGAAUAUUGGACAAUGGGCGCAAGCCUGAUCCAGCAAUGCCGCGUGAGUGAUGAAGGCCUUAGGGUUGUAAAGCUCUUUCGCCCGCGACGAUGAUGACGGUAGCGGGAGAAGAAGCCCCGGCUAACUUCGUGCCAGCAGCCGCAGUAAU
rnacentral:rRNA from 1 species